CGGCGGUUACCAUUUCUGCCCAAGAUGGAGACCGAAGAACAUUCAUGGGAAUUGCAUUUACAUAUAAGCAUCUCGAUCUUUUGAUCCACAUCAUCUCUACUGUGCUUCUGAAACAUUUUGUUAACAACACUUUCAAAUAAAUCACUUUGACCGAUGUUCGUACCUGUCUGCCGAUUUUGUCUCGUACAAGAAUUUGGUAAGGCAAGGUUUUUUGAUUGGCGAUGGUGGUGAUUCUGAAGGGUCCAGUAAAUCUCUUGUUCCUUCUCUUCCUUUCGAUAUUAUUGCAUAUGAUAUACUUACCAGAGUACCAAUCGAUUGUUUAAUGUCAUUUAGAGGUGUAUGCAAAUCAUGGUCUUCUUUAAUCCUCAAUGAUUCCGAUUUUAUUAAAUUACAUUCAACUCGAACUUAUGCGUCACCUGGAUUUCUCCGUCUGUCUGGAAAUUAUCCCGAUUAUGAUUCCGGUGAUAAGAAUUCCGACGAUGAUAAAUCCGAUAGUGAUAAUUCUGCUGAUGAAAAUCCCGAUGAUAAAAAUUACUACAAUGAUAAUCAUGAUAAUGAUAAAUCUGAUGAAGUUCCGAUGAUGACUAUGAUCGUAGUGAACCGGAACUUGAAGAGACCGAAGCAUUUCAAGAUCGGCAGCGCGGUGUUGAAAAAUCUAAGGGAAUUUCUUUUUAUGAUAUUGGUAAGGAUAAUUAUAAGAUAUUUUACUUUGGAGAGGGUUUAUUUAACAAGAAACUGAAGAUUCGAGGGUUUAGUGAUUUUGUCCUGUGAAGAACGAGACCGUGAGUUUACUCAUCAUGUUUAUAAUCCAAACACACGUAAUUCAAUUCAACUUCCCACUCUUAAUGAGUUCGAUAAGAAAAGUGCUGAUGGUCUUCCAUAUUUUUAUUUGGUUUUUGAUCCCGUCAUGGAUAAGUUUAAAGUUAUUUGCAUUGCUUGGAAUUAUAUCGAAAUACAGAAUACCCAUGUUUAUACUACACAGUAUUUCUUCAAGAUUGUUACUCUUGGUACCGGAAUUGGAAGUGAUUCAUGGAGAGAUAUUGAUAUUCCGAAGAUGGAUUUUUAUUUAGGAGGUGAUGGAUAUAAACCAGUGUCUGUGGAUGGGUCUUUGAAUUUGUUGUGUCUUGAUGACAAGAAAGUACUUUACGUUGAUGUUAGCAGAGAAUCAUCUUAUACAGUAGAAUACCCUGAGGGAGCUUCCAACACUUCUCAGCUACUAGAGAUUGGGGGGUCGCUCUGUAUCCUUGAUUACACGGAAGAAUCACACAAUGAUAUUGAGUCUGAUGGGAAGCUCACGUAUGGUUUUUGAUAAUGAAUAGAGAAUAUGAGGACGACGUCUAGACUGAGGAACGGUACUACAGUUAUGACGUUGAGUUGAAAAGGUUGGAAUCAAUCGGCAACCCAGACCCAUCAAAUUAUCGUCAAUGGCAUAUGAACCGUCUUACCCACAUUUAAUCAACCAUUGCGGCUGGUAUGUAUUGCUCAGGAAUUUUAUUAUUAGAUUUCUAGUUUAGCAAGUUGCUACAUGUAGACCAAUGCUAGUUUUACUUUGUAGUUCUUUUUUCUGUAUAAGAUUGACAUUUUUUUCCAUUAUUGAUUAACAGUAGUUUUGCAAAGUAUUUCCCGUACUUCACUGUUUUUUCUAGUUUACCA